rnacentral:rRNA from 2 species
GCUCCGCUGACGAGUGGCGAACGGGUGAGUAAUGCGUCGGAACGUGCCGAGUAGUGGGGGAUAACGCAUCGAAAGGUGUGCUAAUACCGCAUACGAACUGAGGUUGAAAGUGGGGGACCUUCGGGCCUCACGCUAUUCGAGCGGCCGACGUCUGAUUAGCUAGUUGGUGAGGUAAAGGCUCACCAAGGCGACGAUCAGUAGCGGGUCUGAGAGGAUGAUCCGCCACACUGGGACUGAGACACGGCCCAGACUCCUACGGGAGGCAGCAGUGGGGAAUUUUGGACAAUGGGCGCAAGCCUGAUCCAGCCAUGCCGCGUGUCUGAAGAAGGCCUUCGGGUUGUAAAGGACUUUUGUCCGGGAGCAAAUACCCAGUGCUAAUAACGCUGGGGGCUGAGAGUACCGGAAGAAUAAGCACCGGCUAACUACGUGCCAGCAGCCGCGGUAAUACGUAGGGUGCAAGCGUUAAUCGGAAUUACUGGGCGUAAAGCGUGCGCAGGCGGUUUUGUAAGCCAGAUGUGAAAGCCCCGGGCUCAACCUGGGAACUGCGUUUGGAACUACAAGACUAGAGUGUGUCAGAGGGGGGUGGAAUUCCGCGUGUAGCAGUGAAAUGCGUAGAGAUG